UCUAUUGUCGUUGUGUUGUUGUUUCAGCUCUGUUUACCGAGUGUUUCAAGAGGAACAAGCGGCACAGUUAAUCACGCUUUUCACUCAGUUCAGUCACAACACGAAGAACCGUAAAGCUGAAGAUGUCACAUGGCCGUAGGGUGGAUAUGAACGCCUGCCUACCCUCCGAAAGAAGUUCAGUGAAUUGGAUGGUGUUGAAGAAAACAUCAGAUUCACCACUAAACCUCCAUGUUGAUGCUUGCAAGAAUCAGAAGAAAAGAUUUCAUUCAAGACUUUUGGACGUGGAGACAGACUCUCAUUGCUGGUUGCAGCAGGAAUGAGGCAUCCAACAUUUGGCAGCAGAUGAAACUAAAUAAACCUAUACGGAUAUACAGAUCACAAA